rnacentral:rRNA from 1 species
UACGUAGGGUGCAAGCGUUAAUCGGAAUUACUGGGCGUAAAGCGUGCGCAGGCGGUUAUGUAAGACAGGGGUGAAAUCCCCGGGCUUAACCUGGGAAUUGCAUUUGUGACUGCAUGGCUAGAGUGUGUCAGAGGGGGGUAGAAUUCCACGUGUAGCAGUGAAAUGCGUAGAUAUGUGGAGGAAUACCGAUGGCGAAGGCAGCCCCCUGGGAUAACACUGACGCUCAUGCACGAAAGCGUGGGGAGCAAACAGG